GGCACUGCACACAUUUGCUUCACUGGUCGGUGACCAACAAGCCUCUCCACGCUUCUUAGCCAGCGAAACGCUCCCUCAAGCCGUUCAAGGAUGAACUUCGUACGCUUGCUGUCAGUCCUCAUGGUGGUGGUGGUCCUGAUGUCCACCGUCUCUGAGGCGGGGCCUCUCCUUCGCAAUAGAAGAAGAGGUAGAUUUGGCAGAGGGCGCGGCGUGGCCAACGGCAUCAGCCCCAUAUACGGGGACACGUACGCCAACUUCGCCACCGGUAACUCCCUCGUUCCCGGAGUCUUCAACCAGCUGGGCUUCGUCAACUUUUGAGGAUGAAGUGCGGCCGUACGACAACAUACAAAGUCAAUCAGGGGCGCGUGCCGCCCCCGCCGAAAUUGACGCUCGACGGCUGGAAAGCCUGACUUCUGGCCCAGCGGGACCCAACGUGCUCCGCGUCCAGUCGCGAACUACUACAUACCUCGUCGCCGUGACGAGCGUCACGGGACCCAACGUGCUCCGCGUCCAGUCGCGAACUACUACAUACCUCGUCGCCGUGACGAGCGUCAGUGGUGGCCACAUCAACAUGGUCUAUAAUAAUUCGCAACACAGACAAGAAGUGUUACAGAGUCGGGAGAAAAUUCCACAGGUUGUCUCCCGCCUGGUGACGUGACGAGGCCUAGAGUGUGAGGCUGUUUGUGUGUUUUAUGGUAGAGUCAGAGAAGUCGCUCAUAGCGAGUCUUGCUUCGCUCAUCCAAUUGUUUCCGGUGACAGUGUAGAGCUGUGGUCACAUCAGCUGACAUUGUGAUGUACAUACUGCAUCAGUUAGUCCACGCCCACCAGUUGGGCUCCAGUCCAUACGAUCAACAGCUUAUUUUGUCUUUAAAUACACAUGUACUUUUUUUGUUAAUAUUUAUUUAACGCUCUGUCCAGUUUUAUUGCAAUAAUAUAUAUUGUCAAAGUUCCAUAUCUCAAUAAUAUUUAACACUGUUACAUUGUACUUAUCAUGUAUUUUCUGUUUCAUUAACAUGUCUCCCUGAUAAUCAAAAGAACAACAUGCAACAGUUCAACA